CCUACGGGAGGCUGCAGUGAGGAAUAUUGGUCAAUGGGCACGAGCCUGAACCAGCCAAGUCGCGUGAGGGAAGACGGUCCAAUGCAUCGUAGACCUCUUUUGUCGGGGAGCAAAAGACGCCACGCGUGGCGUUCCGAGUGUACCUGGAGAAAAAGCAUCGGCUAACUCCGUGCCAGCAGCCGCGGUAAUACGGAGGAUGCGAGCGUUAUCCGGAUUUAUUGGGUUUAAAGGGUGCGCAGGCGGUCUGUUAAGUCAGCGGUCAAAGCGCGGGGCUCAACCCCGGCGCGCCGUUGAAACUGGGAGUCUCGAGUGGGAUGGAAGUAUGCGGAAUGCGCGGUGUAGCGGUGAAAUGCAUAGAUAUCGCGCAGAACCCCGAUUGCGAAGGCAGCGUGCCGGCUCCACACUGACGCUGAGGCACGAAAGCGUGGGUAUCGAACAGGAUUAGAUACCCGAGUAGUC
rnacentral:rRNA from 1 species